GUCUACGGCCAUACCACUCUGAACGCGCCCGAUCUCGUCUGAUCUCAGAAGCUAAGCAGGGUAGGGCCUGGUUAGUACUUGGAUGGGAGAAACAGACUUUAGAAUGCUAAUUCCACCCAAUGUGGACU
rnacentral:rRNA from 1 species